UUUCGCGCUCCUCCCUUUCCGCUCUUCCUCCCCGCCUCCUGUCCCCCUCGGCCCCUCCUCCGUCUCUUCCUCCUCCUGCUCCGCCUCCUCCGCCUCUUCCUCCUGCUGCUCCCGCUCCUCCUCCUUCUCUGAGCUCCGGACGUCCUGCAGCGUUGUGGCGAUGGAUGGGCGAGCAUCUCAAUUCGGAGGAGGAAAACCUGCCGCCGACAUGGGAGUCCCCUCAAUGCACCUCAAGUUUGAAUUGUUCUCAGGAAGAAGUCUCAGUGACAAGGGAACCAGUUUCUUCCAAAUGCCGGAGAUUUUAUCCAAGGACCUCUCUUUUGUUUGGAGGAUUUGCUCAUUUUUAUUUUAAAUAUGUGUGCGCACACUGCAGUUUGGAGAUCAGAUGACUGCUUGGUAAUACGAAGUUGUCUCCUACUGAGUUUGUGUGUGUGUGUGCCACAGGACAACCUCACGUGCCAUCCUCAAGAAUGCCAUCCCCUUCCUUGAGACAUGGUUUCCUCAUUGGCCUGGAGGUUACUGACUGUGACAGUCCUGCAAGCAAUUGUCCUUCUCUGCCUCCUCACUUCUGGAAUUGCAAGUGUAUACUUUUAUGCCCAGCAUUCUUAUAUAUGAAUUCUAGCAAUAUGAGACUCAGGUCCCAUGCUUGAAGAGCAAGAACUUUACUGCUUGAGCUAUUGCCCCAUCCUUAAAAAAAAAAAAAAAAUUAAUGUGGGUGUGUGCUUGUACACAUGCCCGCUCAGACAUGUGACAUGAGGAAGUGAGAGAACAGUCUGUGAGAGUCAUUUCUCUCCUGCUAUGUGUACUGGUACUCAAAUUCAGGUGGUCAGACUUAGUGGUAGGGGCAUCUUCAUCCACUAAGCCUUGGGGGGGCGGGGUAUGAGACAGGAUUUCUCAGUGUAACAGCCCUAGCAAUCCUGGAGCUAGCUCUGUAGACCAGGCUGACCUCGAACUCACAGAUAUCCACCUGCCUCUGCCUCCUGUGUGCUGGGAUUAAAGGCAUGUGCCACCGCUACCACCUGGCAGCCACUAAGCCAUCUUGCAUACUCUUUUUAAUUUUUUUUAUACAAGAUCUCAUGUAUUCCAGGCUAUCCUAUACCUUCACUUACAAUUAGCCAAUUGUUAUGGAACACUGUGUUCUCUGGGAAUGAUGUAGCCAUUACCUUCUUCAACUAUCAGCAGCUCUGAUUUCCUGAAGGAGACCUACACAAGAUUGGGUCCAUUAAUUUAAUUUUUCUUCUUGGAAUGGGAAAGGGCUUAUGAUCCCACAUCCUUCCCUGAGAAUUAUAGACAGUUAACGGUUAGUAAAGGAGGGGGCUUAUGAGGCCACAUCCUUCCCCAAGGAUUUAUAGGCAAUUAAAUAUUGAUGUGAUGUGAGACCAGAGGGCAGGAAUUUGAGGGCCCUUGAACAUAAGGAGAAUAAGGAAGUACCUCUCAGAUGAUGUAUUGGAGGUGAAACAUAUUUAAAUAAAAGUAGAUAGUUUGAGCUCUCCAACAAAAAGUGAAAUAUUUAAUCCUUCAUAAGAGAGAGUUACUUUUGAAGGCCUUUUUGACUGGAAUUGGAAAAUCAUGGGGCCUUGGACAGGAAGGCAUACUGUUUAGCCCCCUCAAUUAUGGAGUUUAGAUAUCAGGCCCUCUUGGUUACAGAGUGUGCAUUUGAGGUCUAAUAGACAGAAACUGAUGGUGUUUAAGAGUGGAAGAUUUCAGUAGACUUAGAGAGAGUAGCAAAGUCACAAACCUCUUAGUGGAAAGAGGGUGUCCCAGUCUACCUUGUGCAGUGGAUGAAGGACUUCAUCACAGUUUAGAAGAUUCACAUCUUCAAGCACACUGUGGCAUGCCUGGCAGCAAUCUGAGCAUCAUCCAUCAGUCAUGAUUGGCAAUCUCAUGUUCUAAGUCCUCUUGAAGAUUAUCAUCAGUUACACUGGUGUGGGCAUGAAGAAUGAGGCCUUUUCAUUCUGGUGACUAUAAUGAAGGAAAGAUGACCUAAGCCUUAGGUUUUAUGAUCUCAGAGCAAAGCUUGGUGAAGUCCCUUGGGUCACACAUGUAUUUUCCUAGUCGUCAUGGUUAGAAUGGAAAUAUCUAAGGUCCUCCAUUAGUGGGAUAAUUCUGAGGUACACGAGCACAUGCUCUGAGGGACCCUUUGAUCCUUGUCCCCUUAAGCAAAAUGGAAAUUCUGAGAUGACUUUAGUAAAAAACAGUCAUUCUUUUGACUCUUCUUGAACAGAGAUUGAUGUCCUUCACUGUUGUUUGUAAUAGCAGAAAGGCCUGAUGACUACUUUAACCCAUGGGAAGUUCUAAUAACCCAUCAUCAAAAGGGCAUGGUGUGAGAUGCGUUGAGAAUAGGGACAUUUUGGAGAGCCUCUAUUCAGAGGGGAAGCUUCUGAGGUCAUUCUGAAAUGAAUUGAUUAGAUAGAAAGUGCCAGGCCUUGUUUAACCAAAUAGCAAGAUCCACUCACUCCAUUGUGCAGAAAGGAAAGGCUUAGCUUACCUUGGGUGAUGGGGUGAUGGUUUAGUUCUGCAUCAUUUGCUUCCAGCUGUUCUGCCCAGCUCCCAUGAUCUAUAUACUACAUCGCCUGUUGAGAAGAAUGCAAGAAGCAAUACAACACUCUUCCAAGAUGUUGAGUGGUUCUGUGGACCUUAUGCUUUCUAAAGGUUGUAUUGUUCUAUGUUUAUCUAUCAAUGAAAGAUGUAAACAUUGCAUUCAGGACAACUAACUUCUGGGCAGAUAACAAGACUAUUAGUUUUAGCUUUCUAUAUUUUGACCUCUGAUCUAAACCUAGUAUCUUCAGAGGUCCCAUUGGUUGCAAGUGUUUUCCUAGCAAACUUGGUUGUAGGGAUUGGCAUAAAGGUAAGAUGAGUCCGGGGGUCCAGUGAAUGUUGCUCAUGAAAGGAAGGGGAAGCUCUAGGGCUUCCCAGUGUCAGAGACUAGAUCUGAAUAUAGAAUGAAGAAAUGAUACCUGAUUGGUCAUGGGAGCCAAUUCUGAAGUCUUAUUCAUCAUUGUGGCAUAGGCCAGACAUCCUUGGGCAAAUAAUUAGAUCUCUGUAGUCUUUUUGGUUAAAGGGCAUAAUCAUAGACCCCCCUUUGCUUUAUACUGGAGUAAAUGUGGGCAGAUCUGAUUCCCACUUAUAAAGCGUGAGUCGUGUAAGAAAUACGUGGUCUGAGGACUCUUUAAUCUUUUGGAAAAGACUUGGAUCAAACUUGCAAAAUAAAAUUUGAGGGCAUUUUCCAUAAAAUGCAUACUUAAGACCAAUUUGGGCAAUUGGGGAAGGUCUAGAAUAGGUUCCGUCCUAGGAGGAAGGUCUGAUAUUCUCUUCAGUGACGUAAGCGUGAGGGAACUUGUGAAGAAGGGAAACACUGGGGCCUUUGUGUAAAAGGGAAAUUUUUGAGCCCUGGUUGGCUAAGGGUGUGAGUUGAAAACCCCUUGGGCAGAGGGGGUAAGUAUCAUACACCAUUCUGUUGCAGGUGAAUGUCACUGCUACCUCAUUCAGUGAAGGAAGGUCCCAUCACUGCACUUCAACUUCCAGCUGUUCUUUAGAGUUCCCACAUCAUCAGUUGAGUCUUGCAUAGUUCGGGAGCAACCAAAGCCUUCUUCAAUGAACCUACAUGGCUGUCCCUGGCAAUGUUGCCUCUUCUUUCAGAUACAGAAGGUUGCACAGAAUACCGGGAAUACCCUGAAUGUCCCAGAAACCCUUGAGAAUAUGGUAAAUGUCGAAGAGAAUCCUGUGAUGAUGUGGUCAGUCCCAGCUCCCCCCUUGUAGACAGCACAUUUUCUAAAUAGAUUUGCUGAGGUGGUGAAUCUUGCAAAGUUACUUUCCCCCCUGAAGACACUUCCUUUAAACCUUGGUCUGUUAGUGAAGGUCUUAUAGGCCCCAUUUGACAUGGGGCAGAUUUCACACAUCCCUGUUCAAAUGGAGAACAUUCCAGAGUUUCCUUGGAAAAUGUUGGUGAUCCUAGUAUCCCUUGGUCACAUAUAGAAGAGCCCACAGCACCUUGGCAGAUGUUGAAAGUCUUAGUGACUCUAGGACAGAGACCAACGUUUCUAAAAACCUUGAGACAGAUUUUAAGGUCUUAUAGAGCUCUUGGUAAGAUGGCAAAGGUUCUGAUGCCUUUGGUGUACAUUCAGAAGGACUGGGAGGUUCCUCCACAGGAGCCUGGAUUCCUGGUACACUUUGAGAUGAUGGAGCUGGUUCUACAGACUCAUGGACAGAUGAUGAUGUCUGUCUAGAACCUUGGGUAGAUGGUGAUGUUCCUAGACAAUGUUCUAAAGUUUGAGGAAAUCUACAAUAUCUAGGAGAAGAUAGAUGGUAAAUAUGCUAAAAUCUCUUUGGCUAAAGAAAGGCCAAGAUCCCCUUGGGAAGAUGGAGAAGGUUCUGGAGUCCCUUGGUCAUGGUUUGAAUGUUGUACAUACUCUUGUACUGAUACGGAAGAUCCCAGAGACCCUUGGGUAAACAGUGAAUUGCCUAAACACCCUUGCUAAUGUGGUGAAGGUCCUAGAGAACCCUGGGUAGUUAUAGACAAUUCUGAACACAGUUGAUCUGACAAUAAAGAUUCCAAAGUCUUUGGUACAGAUGGAGGAGGUUCCAGUGAACCUUUAGAUGAUGGAGAAAAUUGAAGAGCUUUCCAGAGCGAAGAUGACGAUCCCUGAAUCUGUUGGUCAGAAUCACAAGGGCACAAAGCACCAUGAGCAGAAAUAGAAUUUCCCAGAGUUGCUGGGAGAGGUGUCAUAGUUCCUAGAGAUCUUGAUGAAGAUUCUAAAAAUUUCAAAACUGGUGAGAUGGCAAAGAUUCUGAUGUCUUUGGAGUACAUUGGGAAGGUCCCAGACAUCCUUGGAAAUGAGGCUGAAGUGGUAGAGUACCCUUCUUAUCUAAUGGAGCUUCUAUAGCUCUCUGGACAGAAGAUGACGUUUCUAGAGUAACUUUGGAAGAUAAUAAAUUUAGCAGUAUCUCAUGGCAAGAGAGAGAAUACCCAGCUCCUGGGACAGAUGGGACCUGUUUUACAGCCCCUUGGUCAUAAGAAGGGCCUAAAAAUUUUGGGGAAGAUGUGGAUGAUUCUGGAGAACAUUGGAAAAGUGAGGAAUGUCCAAGAGACUCUUGUGAUGGAGAUAAUUCCACAGUUCCUUGGGUAGAUGAAAUAUUUCCUUCAUAACUCUCGUGAUGUGGUGACUGUCCUAGAGUCACUUUGGCAGGAGCAGACAAUUUCUGCCAUACUUUGUCUUGUGCGGACUCUACAAGAGUACCUUGUGAAGUUGGGGUAGUUCCCAGAGACCCUUGAGAAUAUGGAGGAUGUUUCAGAGACAUUUGAUGAGAUGGUGAAGAUUCUACACAUUUCUGUGAUGAUGUGGACAGUGUCACCUUAUUUUGGGAGGAUAAGGAAGAUCCUCCAGCAUCUUGCAGUACAGAAUUGAAAAGGUCAAGAGUUCCCGAAGCAGAUAGGAAAUUUUCUACUGGCCCUGAAUUAGAGUAGGUUUGUAACCCUCUUGGGAAGAUGGCAAUACUUUUAAUUCUCUCUGGGGAAAUUACAAAGGUCCCUGAUUUUCCUGGGAAGGAGAUCUCAGUCGUAGAUCAUCUUGGGCAUAUGCCAAAGGUUCUGUAUUCACUUGAGUAUUUGAUGAAAGUUUCAUAGCCCCUUGAGUAGAUGUGGAUGAUCCUAGAAUAUCCCUGGCAGACAGGGGUGGUCUCAGAGUCCAUGAGACAGUUGGAGACAUUAUUAAAUCCACUUGGGCAGAUGGAGAAGAUCCUAGAGACCCUGCAUUAGAUGGGGAAAUUCCCAAAUCUCCCGUUGAAGAAUUGGAUAUCCCUAGAUUGCCAUGUAUGCAGGUAGAAUCUUCCAGAGUCCCCUGGGAAGACAAGCAAGGUCUCCUCCCUUCUUGGGAAGAAACUAAAGGGCAUGAACUCACUUGAACAGAUAAGGAAAUUAUGAAAGGCCCUAGGGAAGAUGAUGUAUGUCCUAGAUUCCCUUGUCCAGAUAAAGGAAUGUCUUUGUUCUCUUUUGAAGAAGGCAUAGAUCCUGAAGAGUCUGAAGCUGUUUGUUGAACCCUGUGGGCAGACUGUCAAGAUCCAACAGGUCCCAGGUAUGAAACAGAGUGUCCUACAGUGCCAUGCCUAGGUUUAGAGAGACCAAAAGUUCCUUCUACACACAGGGAAGGUUCCAAAGGGCAUUGGGAAGAAUGGAAAGGACACAAAUUUGCCUGGGAAGAUAUGGAAAGUUCAAUAGGCCCAUCAUCAGAUACCACAUGUCCUAUGGUAGAUGUAGAAGUUUAGUAUACACCUGGUGCAGAUGAUGAAUAUCCUGGGGACUCCCAGGGAAAUAGCAAAGGUUCUACAUCCCCUUGUGCUGUGAUAGAAAUUUUUGGAGACCCUGGGGCAGAAUUCAAAGUUUCUACCAUCUUUUUGGCAUGCUGGCUAUAUCCCUGAGAUACUGGAGUAGAGGAUGAAUAUGCUACUGUGUUCUGUGCAGAAGUGGACUGUGAGCAUGUAUGUUGUGUAUGUGAGGAACUGCCUGAGAGCCCUUGGGCAGGUGGAGGAUGUACUACACUCCUUUGCGCAGAUGUGGACAAUUCCAUAGACUCUUGUGUAGAUAGGCAGGAACCCAAAGCAUUUGAGCACAGUGAGAAGUUCCUUGACUCCCCUGGUCAAAAGAGGAAAGUCCCAGAGUUUCCUGAGGGCAAGGUAGGUAUACUGAACUUCCUACAUGAGAUGUUUCUCUUACAUGUGGCAAUUGCCCAUGAUAACUAUGUGUAUUUUGGACUAUUCCUUGGAUGUCUUCAGCAGAUAAUGAGGAUGCUAGAGUUCCUUUUAAAGAUGCUGAUGGACUCAGCAAACACUGGGCAGAUACAUUAAGUUCUAGAGGAAGAUGAGCAGAGAAUGGAGGUGCUGGAUCACAUGGGACAUGUGUAGAGAGUUUUCUAGUCUCUUUGUUAAAAGGCUCUUGAGGGCCAGGGACAGAUGGAGAGUUUCCCACAGGCUCUCUGACAGAUGACAAAUGGCUAAGAUUCAUUUGGGCAGGUUGAGAUGUUUCCAGAUUACCAGAGAAACACUGUAAAGGAUCAAGUUCUCCUUGAGGAGAUGAAAAAGUUCCUUGUGCACACACAGAAAGUUCCAGAGGCAAUCCAAAAUAUAACAAAGGUUCAGGAUAUCCUGAACUUUCAGAAAGUUGGAACAUUUCCUGAGAACCUGGGGCAGAUAUUCCAGUACCUGGAGGAGAGGAUAAAGAUCCUAGUGUGCUGUUCAGAUUGGGAAGGAUUUGGAAGUCCUGAGACAGAUGGUGAUUGUUGUGGAGAAUUUUGUGCCGACUGAGAUGUUUUCUGACAGGUUUUAGAUGAAACAGGGUGUUUCUUAGUUCCUUGAUUACACAGCAGUGGUGCUAGAGUCCCUUUGGCAGACACAGAUAAGUCCAGAGACCCUUGGGAAAAUAAGGAUCCACAGGCCCUUCUGCAGCCUGAGACACUCCCAGAGAACUCUGACCAGAUUGCAAAGAUUCUAAUAGUGUCUGGGUAUUUUGGAUAGACCUCAGAGGUUCUGUCAUGGAUGGAAAAGGUCCUACAGUCUGCUUUGAAGAUGUUGAAUUUCCCAAUGUGCCUGUGGCAGCUAAGAGAAACUCCCCAGUGCCCUGGGAAGCAGAAGACUCCGGAUUCCCUUGUGCAUAUUUGGACACUUUCAGAGUUCCUGGUGAUGAUGGGCAUGUUUCCACAGUCCUUUCAUCAGAAUGAGAAAAUAGUGAAGUCACUUGUGUUGAUGAAAAGAGAUCCGGAUGCCCUGGUACCGAUGGAAACUUUCCCCUAGUCACUUGGGUAGAUGGAGAAUUUGUAUAUGGCUCUGGAACUUCUUGGGAAGGUGCUGAACGUUGCAGAGUCCCUUCAGCAGAUUGUGCUGAAUGCAGCAUUUCCUGGGAUGACAUGUUUCAGAUGCCCUUGAGCAAGUUGCAAAGGUUCUAGAUUCUCUUGGCCAGAAGGGAAAGAUUCUGCAGAUCCUUGGGUCGAAGUUAAAUGUCCUCUAGGCACUAGAGGUGAUGGCAAAGCUUCUAUAGUCCUUGUAGCAGACUAAGAAUUUUCCACACCCUCUCUCACACAUG